UGUAUUCACUACUGUAAGUGACUCUGGAUAAGAGUGUCUGCUAAAUGACUAAAA
rfam:Salmo salar isolate Sally breed double haploid chromosome ssa10, whole genome shotgun sequence.